GGUGCGCAGGGCUCGGGGCCACGCCUUGCCACCUGCAGCGCCCGGGUGGGCCGCGGGGGCCUCGGCGGGACGCGCUCGGCCCUGUCGCAGGAGCUAACGCAGGGGGAAUCCUUGCAGGUGGGAGCAUUUCAGAGCGCACAAGCCAUGGUGGCCAAACAGCGGAUCCGGAUGGCUAACGAGAAGCACAGCAAAAACAUCACCCAGAGGGGGAACGUAGCCAAAACCCUGAGGCCGCAAGAGGAGAAAUAUCCUGUGGGACCAUGGCUGUUGGCACUGUUUGUUUUUGUUGUCUGUGGCUCAGGUCAACCACAUAAAUUGGCCUCUCCUGGAGACUGCCAGAACUUUCUCAAAGUUGUAACAUCCAGAGGGAGUCACCCCACCCCCAAGACCGGCAACUGAGAUGUUUAAAGGAACUGGCUGGCCCUGAAGGAAAGACUGAGGCCAUUCAUCUGCUCUGGAGUUCAUCCUCGGGAUCUGAGAUGCACAGCCUGAAGACAUCUCAUCAGCCAUCAGCUCCCUUAAGCUAUCUUUCAGAUCAUUCAGAGCAUAAGGAUGGGCAUGUGAGAAAGCCAGGGAUUUGACACCACCUCCCUCCCACUGGAGGCGGGAGGACAACGGAAGCGGUCAGCCAGUUUCUGCGGGAAACAAGCAGGCCACACGGAAUAGAAAAAAACGCUCCCCCACUUGUUCCCUGAUCACUUCAUCGUGGAUGUCAGACCAAAUUGCCUUCUCACAGGACAUCUUGGUGCAUCCGCGUUCUCAAGCGGAAAGGACAUUUUGCUUUUCUGUUGGCAGGAUUAGUAGCCACGCGGGUCGUCCGCAGCAGUGCUGUUUUUUUGGUUUUUCCCUUGGUUUCACUAAUGCGUGCAUGUGGCCCUCUGAACGAUCACUGGUUUACUUUCUAUGGAUACAAUCUCUCCUCCAUUGAGAAUUGAUUUUACAAAUAAAUGUCUUCGUUCAAC
rnacentral:lncRNA from 1 species